UUUAUUGAUGCUAAAAGAAUGGAAAUUUAGAAAAAAACUUUUUUGAAAUUAAAAAUUGAAUUUUUUUUAAUUUGUGCAGAAACAAUUAAUUUAUUAUUAAAGACAAGAAGACCCUAUGAAUUUAAAGAUUAAUUUAAUUAAUAUAAUUAACUGAAUUAAUCUUGAUUGGGGCGAUCAAAAAAUAUUAAUAACUUUUUUAAAUUAAAAUGAUCUAUUAUUAAUAAAAAUAAUGAAAUAAAUACUCUAGGGGAUAACAGCCGUAAUAAUUUUUUGAUAGAUCUUAUAGAACAAAAUAGUUUGCGACCUCGAUGUUGGAUUAGGAUUCUUUUUUAAUGAAGAUGUAAAAAAAGAA
rnacentral:rRNA from 1 species